GAUCUACCUAGUAGUACGGAAUAAUUGUUGGAAACGGCAACUAAUACCGUAUACGCCCUACGGGGGAAAGAUUUAUUGCUAUUAGAUGAGCCUAUAUUAGAUUAGCUAGUUGGUAAGGUAAUGGCUUACCAAGGCAAUGAUCUAUAGCUGAUCUGAGAGGAUGAUCAGCCACACUGGAACUGAGAUACGGUCCAGACUCCUACGGGAGGCAGCAGUGGGGAAUAUUGGACAAUGGGCGAAAGCCUGAUCCAGCCAUGCCGCAUGAGUGAAGAAGGCCUUUGGGUUGUAAAGCUCUUUCGGUGAGGAAGAUAAUGACGGUACUCACAGAAGAAGUCCUGGCUAACUCCGUGCCAGCAGCCGCGGUAAUACGGAGAGGGCUAGCGUUAUUCGGAAUUAUUGGGCGUAAAGAGCGCGUAGGCUGGUUAGUAAGUUAAAAGUGAAAUCCCAAAGCUCAACUUUGGAAUUGCUUUUUAAACUGCUAACCUAGAGAUUGAAAGAGGAUAGAGGAAUUCCUAGUGGUAGAGGGGGAAAUUCGUAAAUAUUUANGGAGGAACACCAGUGGGCGAARGCGUCCUAUCUGGGUUCUAAUCCUGACGCUGARGCGCCGAAAGGCGUNGGGGNAGCAAACACGGAUUAGAUACCCCCUGGUAGUYCCCGCCUGUWAACGAAUGAAUGUUAAAUAAUGGGGGGAAAGUUUWCUUUUUGUACUACAGCUAACGCGUUAAACAUUCCGCCUGGGGACUACGGUCGCAAGAUUAAA
rnacentral:rRNA from 1 species